rnacentral:rRNA from 1 species
CAGGAUGAACGCUGGCGGCGUGCUUAACACAUGCAAGUCGAACGAUGAAGCCCAGCUUGCUGGGUGGAUUAGUGGCGAACGGGUGAGUAACACGUGAGUAACCUGCCCUUGACUCUAGGAUAAGCCCGGGAAACUGGGUCUAAUACUGGAUAGGAACGUCUACCGCAUGGUGGAUGUUGGAAAGAAUUUCGGUCAUGGAUGGACUCGCGGCCUAUCAGCUUGUUGGUGAGGUAAUGGCUCACCAAGGCGACGACGGGUAGCCGGCCUGAGAGGGUGACCGGCCACACUGGGACUGAGACACGGCCCAGACUCCUACGGGAGGCAGCAGUGGGGAAUAUUGCACAAUGGGCGAAAGCCUGAUGCAGCGACGCCGCGUGAGGGAUGACGGCCUUCGGGUUGUAAACCUCUUUCAGUAGGGAAGAAGCGAAAGUGACGGUACCUGCAGAAGAAGCACCGGCUAACUACGUGCCAGCAGCCGCGGUAAUACGUAGGGUGCGAGCGUUAUCCGGAAUUAUUGGGCGUAAAGAGCUCGUAGGCGGUUUGUCGCGUCUGUCGUGAAAGUCCGGGGCUUAACCCCGGAUCUGCGGUGGGUACGGGCAGACUAGAGUGCAGUAGGGGAGACUGGAAUUCCUGGUGUAGCGGUGGAAUGCGCAGAUAUCAGGAGGAACACCGAUGGCGAAGGCAGGUCUCUGGGCUGUAACUGACGCUGAGGAGCGAAAGCAUGGGGAGCGAACAGGAUUAGAUACCCUGGUAGUCCAUGCCGUAAACGUUGGGCACUAGGUGUGGGGAACAUUCCACGUUUUCCGCGCCGCAGCUAACGCAUUAA